rnacentral:rRNA from 1 species
CGCCUGUUUAACAAAAACAUGUCUUUUUGAUUAUAAUUUAAAGUCUAACCUGCCCAAUGAGUAGUUGAAUGGCCGCGGUAUUUUGACCGUGCAAAGGUAGCAUAAUCAUUAGUUUUUUAAUUGAAAGCUGGUAUGAAUGGUUGGACGAGAGAAUAACUGUCUCAAUUUAAUUUAAUUAGAAUUUUAUUUUUAAGUAAAAAAGCUUAAAUGUAUUUAAAAGACGAGAAGACCCUAUAGAGUUUUAUAUAAUUUUUAUUUUAUAUAUUAUAGAAUUAAUAAGUUUAGAGUAUAAAUUGUAUUUUGUUGGGGCGAUAGAAAAAUUGAAUGAACUUUUUUUAUAUUAGAUCAUUAAUUUAUGAAUAAGUGAUCCGUAUUUAACGAUUAUAAGAUUAAAUUACCUUAGGGAUAACAGCGUAAUUUUUUUUGAGAGUUCUUAUCGAAAAAAGAGUUUGCGACCUCGAUGUUGGAUUAAAAUUAAUUUUUGGUGUAGAAGCUAAAAAAUUAGGUCUGUUCGACCUUUAAAAUUUUACAUGAUCUGAGUUCAAACCGGAG